UACGGGGGGGGCAAGCGUUGUUCGGAAUUACUGGGCGUAAAGGGCUCGUAGGUGGCCAACUAAGUCAGACGUGAAAUCCCUCGGCUUAACCGGGGAACUGCGUCUGAUACUGGAUGGCUGGAGAUUGGGAGAGGGAUGCGGAAUUCCAGGUGUAGCGGUGAAAUGCGUAGAUAUCAGGAGGAACACCAAUGGCGAAGGCAGCUCGCUGGAACGGUACUGACGCUGAGGCGCGAAAGCGUGGGGAGCAAACAGG
rnacentral:rRNA from 1 species